UACGGAGGGGGCUAGCGUUGUUCGGAAUUACUGGGCGUAAAGCGCACGUAGGCGGCUUGGUAAGUUAGAGGUGAAAGCCUGGAGCUCAACUCCAGAAUUGCCUUUAAGACUGCCGAGCUAGCAGGUGAGAGAGGUGAGUGGAAUUCCGAGUGUAGAGGUGAAAUUCGUAGAUAUUCGGAAGAACGCCAGUGGCGAAGGCGGCUCACUGGCUCAUACUGGACGCUGAGGUGCGAAAGCGUGGGGAGCAAACAGG
rnacentral:rRNA from 1 species